rnacentral:rRNA from 1 species
UAACACAUGCAAGUCGAGCGGGGGAAGGUAGCUUGCUACCGGACCUAGCGGCGGACGGGUGAGUAAUGCUUAGGAAUCUGCCUAUUAGUGGGGGACAACAUCUCGAAAGGGAUGCUAAUACCGCAUACGUCCUACGGGAGAAAGCAGGGGAUCUUCGGACCUUGCGCUAAUAGAUGAGCCUAAGUCGGAUUAGCUAGUUGGUGGGGUAAAGGCCUACCAAGGCGACGAUCUGUAGCGGGUCUGAGAGGAUGGUCCGCCACACUGGGACUGAGACACGGCCCAGACUCCUACGGGAGGCAGCAGUGGGGAAUAUUGGACAAUGGGGGGAACCCUGAUCCAGCCAUGCCGCGU